CCUACGGGUGACAGCAGUGAGGAAUAUUGGUCAAUGGGCGUAAGCCUGAACCAGCCAAGUCGCGUGAGGGAUGAAGGUUCUAUGGAUCGUAAACCUCUUUUAUAAGGGCAUAAAGUGUGGGACGUGUCCUAUUUUGUAUGUCCCUUAUGAAUAAGGAUCGGCUAACUCCGUGCCAGCAGCCGCGGUAAUACGGAGGAUCCGAUCGUUAUCCGGAUUUAUUGGGUUUAAAGGGUGCGUAGGCGGCCUUUUAAGUCAGCGGUGAAAGUCUGUGGCUCAACCAUAGAAUUGCCGUUGAAACUGGGGGGCUUGAGUAUGUGUGAGGCAGUCGGAAUGCGUGGUGUAGCGGUGAAAUGCGUAGAUAUCACGCAGAACCCCGAUUGCGAAGGCAGACUGCCAGGCCAUGACUGACGCUGAUGCACGAAAGCGUGGGGAUCAAACAGGAUUAGAUACCCUGGUAGUC
rnacentral:rRNA from 1 species